GACAGCCAAACAGAACGAUAGUAUGUGUUCGCAAAGUGGCAGUCGCUAUCGCUCUCGAAGUCUCAUAAUAGCAACUAUUGACUAUCGUGUACGCACGAUAACUUGACGGUUGCUUUCAUGACAGUUAAAUAGGCACUAUCGUACUGUUCCCACGACGGUAGUUCAUGAGAUGACAACUGUCACGGUAGAAACUAUCAGUUGGUUAACCAUGCUUUACACAAUGUUUUUUUUUUGCGUUAAACGGUGUAACUUACGUCCACAUGAUUUCGAAUUCCGAUCCCUAGAGAAUUGGUGGAAGUGAGCUCUAGUACAUACAGUACGUUUCCCUAAUAUAUAGUGACGGAUGAACUUUCGACGGAACCGAGAGGUUUCAGAAAAUGCGUCGACAUAAUAAUAUUG